rnacentral:sRNA from 1 species
AGCCCAUCCCAGGAGAUGUCCUGACAACACCUGUGUACCCUGCAUAGGGUCCCUGAUGGGCCUGGGUGACAUUAUCUCACAGCAGCUGGUGGAGAGGCGGGGUCUGCAGGAACACCAGAGAGGCCGGACUCUGACCAUGGUGUCCCUGGGCUGUGGCUUUGUGGGCCCUGUGGUAGGAGGCUGGUACAAGGUUUUGGAUCGGUUCAUCCCUGGCACCACCAAAGUGGAUGCACUGAAGAAGAUGUUGUUGGAUCAGGGGGGCUUUGCCCCGUGUUUUCUAGGCUGCUUUCUCCCACUGGUAGGGGCACUUAAUGGACUGCCAGCCCAGGACAACUGGGCCAAACUACAGCGGGUGAGCUGGGCAGGUGUGGAGAAUGUCUCUGGCUGGCGGGCUGACAGCCCAGGGGAAGAAGACAGGUUUUACAGGGAUAAAAAAGGGGGUAAGUGCAGGUAGAGCCCCAGGCCAUGGAGGAGAGGAGCUGAGGGUUAUGGUGCAGGAAUGUGCUCUUUGAACCCAAGUCUGUGUGUGACAUUCACACUGGGAAG